rnacentral:rRNA from 1 species
UUGUAAGUGUCUAAGGGCGCAUGGUGGAUGCCUUGGCAUCGAGAGCCGAUGAAGGACGUGGGAGGCUGCGAUAUGCCUCGGGGAGCUGUCAACCGAGCGUGGAUCCGAGGAUUUCCGAAUGGGGAAACCCAGCACGAGUGAUGUCGUGCUACCCGCAUCUGAAUAUAUAGGGUGCGGGAGGGAACGCGGGGAAGUGAAACAUCUCAGUACCCGUAGGAGGAGAAAACAAUUGUGAUUCCGCAAGUAGUGGCGAGCGAACGCGGAACAGGCUAAACCGCACGCAUGGGUAACCGGGUAGGGGUUGUGUGUGCGGGGUUGUGGGAGGAUAUGUCUCAGCGCUACCCGGCUGAGAGGCAGUCAGAAAGUGUCGUGGUUAGCGGAAGUGGCCUGGGAUGGUCUGCCGUAGACGGUGAGAGCCCGGUACGCGAAAACCCGGCACCUGCCUAGUAUCAAUUCCCGAGUAGCAGCGGGCCCGUGGAAUCCGCUGUGAAUCCGCCGGGACCACCCGGUAAGCCUAAAUACUCCUCGAUGACCGAUAGCGGAUUAGUACCGUGAGGGAAUGGUGAAAAGUACCCCGGGAGGGGAGUGAAAGAGUACCUGAAACCGUGUGCCUACAAUCCGUCAGAGCCUCCUUUUCCUCUCCGGAGGAGGGUGGUGAUGGCGUGCCUUUUGAAGAAUGAGCCUGCGAGUCAGGGACAUGUCGCAAGGUUAACCCGUGUGGGGUAGCCGCAGCGAAAGCGAGUCUGAAUAGGGCGACCCACACGCGCAUACGCGCGUGUGAAUAGUGGCGUGUUCUGGACCCGAAGCGGAGUGAUCUACCCAUGGCCAGGGUGAAGCGCGGGUAAGACCGCGUGGAGGCCCGAACCCACUUAGGUUGAAGACUGAGGGGAUGAGCUGUGGGUAGGGGUGAAAGGCCAAUCAAACUCCGUGAUAGCUGGUUCUCCCCGAAAUGCAUUUAGGUGCAGCGUUGCGUGGUUCACCGCGGAGGUAGAGCUACUGGAUGGCCGAUGGGCCCUACUAGGUUACUGACGUCAGCCAAACUCCGAAUGCCGUGGUGUAAAGCGUGGCAGUGAGACGGCGGGGGAUAAGCUCCGUACGUCGAAAGGGAAACAGCCCAGAUCGCCGGCUAAGGCCCCCAAGCGUGUGCUAAGUGGGAAAGGAUGUGCAGUCGCAAAGACAACCAGGAGGUUGGCUUAGAAGCAGCCACCCUUGAAAGAGUGCGUAAUAGCUCACUGGUCAAGUGAUUGUGCGCCGAUAAUGUAGCGGGGCUCAAGCACACCGCCGAAGCCGCGGCACAUCCACCUUGUGGUGGGUGUGGGUAGGGGAGCGUCCCUCAUUCAGCGAAGCCACCGGGUGACCGGUGGUGGAGGGUGGGGGAGUGAGAAUGCAGGCAUGAGUAGCGACAAGGCAAGUGAGAACCUUGCCCGCCGAAAGACCAAGGGUUCCUGGGCCAGGCCAGUCCGCCCAGGGUGAGUCGGGACCUAAGGCGAGGCCGACAGGCGUAGUCGAUGGACAACGGGUUGAUAUUCCCGUACCCGUGUGUGGGCGCCCGUGACGAAUCAGCGGUACUAACCACCCAAAACCGGAUCGAUCACUCCCCUUCGGGGGUGUGGAGUUCUGGGGCUGCGUGGGAACUUCGCUGGUAGUAGUCAAGCGAAGGGGUGACGCAGGAAGGUAGCCGUACCAGUCAGUGGUAACACUGGGGCAAGCCGGUAGGGAGAGCGAUAGGCAAAUCCGUCGCUCACUAAUCCUGAGAGGUGACGCAUAGCCGGUUGAGGCGAAUUCGGUGAUCCUCUGCUGCCAAGAAAAGCCUCUAGCGAGCACACACACGGCCCGUACCCCAAACCGACACAGGUGGUCAGGUAGAGCAUACCAAGGCGUACGAGAUAACUAUGGUUAAGGAACUCGGCAAAAUGCCCCCGUAACUUCGGGAGAAGGGGGACCGGAAUAUCGUGAACACCCUUGCGGUGGGAGCGGGAUCCGGUCGCAGAAACCAGUGAGGAGCGACUGUUUACUAAAAACACAGGUCCGUGCGAAGUCGCAAGACGAUGUAUACGGACUGACGCCUGCCCGGUGCUGGAAGGUUAAGAGGACCCGUUAACCCGCAAGGGUGAAGCGGAGAAUUUAAGCCCCAGUAAACGGCGGUGGUAACUAUAACCAUCCUAAGGUAGCGAAAUUCCUUGUCGGGUAAGUUCCGACCUGCACGAAUGGCGUAACGACUUCUCAACUGUCUCAACCAUAGACUCGGCGAAAUUGCACUACGAGUAAAGAUGCUCGUUACGCGCGGCAGGACGAAAAGACCCCGGGACCUUCACUACAACUUGGUAUUGAUGUUCGGUACGGUUUGUGUAGGAUAGGUGGGAGACUGUGAAACCUCGACGCCAGUUGGGGCGGAGUCGUUGUUGAAAUACCACUCUGAUCGUAUUGGGCAUCUAACCUCGAACCCUGAAUCGGGUUUAGGGACAGUGCCUGGCGGGUAGUUUAACUGGGGCGGUUG